GGAGGACUGUAGCUCAGUUGGCAGAGCAUCUGUCUUGCAGUCUUGCGGGCAAAAGGUGCCAGGUUCAAUCCCUGGUGUCUCUA